GUCCUUGUAGCUCAAUUGGAUAGAGCAACGGCCUUCUAAGCCGUAGGUUGCAGGUUCGACUCCUGCCGGGGACGCCA
rnacentral:tRNA from 1 species